rnacentral:rRNA from 1 species
AUUGAACGCUGGCGGCAGGCUUAACACAUGCAAGUCGAGCGGGGGAAGGUAGCUUGCUACCGGACCUAGCGGCGGACGGGUGAGUAAUGCUUAGGAAUCUGCCUAUUAGUGGGGGACAACAUCUCGAAAGGGAUGCUAAUACCGCAUACGUCCUACGGGAGAAAGCAGGGGAUCUUCGGACCUUGCGCUAAUAGAUGAGCCUAAGUCGGAUUAGCUAGUUGGUGGGGUAAAGGCCUACCAAGGCGACGAUCUGUAGCGGGUCUGAGAGGAUGAUCCGCCACACUGGGACUGAGACACGGCCCAGACUCCUACGGGAGGCAGCAGUGGGGAAUAUUGGACAAUGGGGGGAACCCUGAUCCAGCCAUGCCGCGUGUGUGAAGAAGGCCUUAUGGUUGUAAAGCACUUUAAGCGAGGAGGAGGCUACUUUAGUUAAUACCUAGAGAUAGUGGACGUUACUCGCAGAAUAAGCACCGGCUAACUCUGUGCCAGCAGCCGCGGUAAUACAGAGGGUGCGAGCGUUAAUCGGAUUUACUGGGCGUAAAGCGUGCGUAGGCGGCUUAUUAAGUCGGAUGUGAAAUCCCCGAGCUUAACUUGGGAAUUGCAUUCGAUACUGGUGAGCUAGAGUAUGGGAGAGGAUGGUAGAAUUCCAGGUGUAGCGGUGAAAUGCGUAGAGAUCUGGAGGAAUACCGAUGGCGAAGGCAGCCAUCUGGCCUAAUACUGACGCUGAGGUACGAAAGCAUGGGGAGCAAACAGGAUUAGAUACCCUGGUAGUCCAUGCCGUAAACGAUGUCUACUAGCCGUUGGGGCCUUUGAGGCUUUAGUGGCGCAGCUAACGCGAUAAGUAGACCGCCUGGGGGAGUACGGUCGCAAGACUAAAACUCAAAUGAAUUGACGGGGGCCCGCACAAGCGGUGGAGCAUGUGGUUUAAUUCGAUGCAACGCGAAGAACCUUACCUGGCCUUGACAUACUAGAAACUUUCCAGAGAUGGAUUGGUGCCUUCGGGAAUCUAGAUACAGGUGCUGCAUGGCUGUCGUCAGCUCGUGUCGUGAGAUGUUGGGGUUAAGUCCCGCAACGAGCGCAACCCUUUUCCUUACUUGCCAGCAUUUCG